UGACCAUUUUAUGCAGGUGACCAACUUACUGCUAUUGCCUUGCUGUAACUGAGACAACACAUAGCAACGUAUUUUCACAGACUCACUUAAAUCAUCCACAACACUGUCAAAAUAGGAUACAUCCUAGCCACAGGUGCUAGCCUUCAGUUCGGCCACAACAUCCAGUGAGGACACGAACGCACACACAUUACACACUAACUACCGAGGACAUACAGAUAAGACUCCUACACACAUUGGCAGGGAGAAACAGAAUAGGGAGAGACAACCUUGACUUGGAGACAAACCAGCGCACACACGUAACCUCCUUUUUCUAGCUGAACAUUGUGUGACUGAGAACAGGCAUGGAGGGAUUCUACGAUGACGGACAGACAACUGAACCAAUGACGGAAGACUACACCCCAGCCUGAGCCUGAACCAAUCCGAAGAACCAAACUUCUAGAAUCAACCUACUUUCUGUUCUGUAUUAAUUGCUUGUGCAAACGAUUAGCGGGGCUUUUUUUUUGGUUCCUCAUGAGCUAAUAGAAGGGCCCGUAUAUACGCUGUACCAGAUAUCUUUACUCUGAAUAAACUGUCGCUUGUCAUACAAUCUA